CGCCAGACUCCUACGGGAGGCAGCAGUGAGGAAUAUUGGUCAAUGGCCGAGAGGCUGAACCAGCCAAGUCGCGUGAGGGAUGACGGCCCUACGGGUUGUAAACCUCUUUUGUCGGGGAGCAAAAGACGCCACGCGUGGCGUUCCGAGAGUACCCGAAGAAAAAGCAUCGGCUAACUCCGUGCCAGCAGCCGCGGUAAUACGGAGGAUGCGAGCGUUAUCCGGAUUUAUUGGGUUUAAAGGGUGCGUAGGCGGGCUUUUAAGUCAGCGGUAAAAAUUCGGGGCUCAACCCCGUCCGGCCGUUGAAACUGGGGGCCUUGAGUGGGCGAGAAGAAGGCGGAAUGCGUGGUGUAGCGGUGAAAUGCAUAGAUAUCACGCAGAACCCCGAUUGCGAAGGCAGCCUUCCGGCGCCCUACUGACGCUGAGGCACGAAGGUGCGGGGAUCGAACAGGAUUAGAUACCCCGGUA
rnacentral:rRNA from 1 species